CACGGAUCCAGAGUUUGAUUAUGGCUCAGGACGAACGCUGGCGGCGUGCUUAACACAUGCAAGUCGAACGAGGAUCAGCCGAUAGCUUGCUAUUGGAUGAUCCGAGUGGCGGACGGGUGAGUAACGCGUGAACAAUCUGUCUCAUACAGGGGGAUAACGCAUCGAAAGAUGUGCUAAUACCGCGUAGGACCACGACGGGGCAUCCCGUUGAGGUGAAAGGAGCAAUCCGGUAUGAGGUGAGUUCGCGUCUGAUUAGAUAGUUGGUGAGGUAACGGCCCACCAAGUCAACGAUCAGUAGCCGACCUGAGAGGGUGAUCGGCCACAUUGGGACUGAGACACGGCCCAGACUCCUACGGGAGGCAGCAGUGGGGAAUAUUGGGCAAUGGGCGCAACUGACCCAACAACGCCGCGUGAAGGAAGAAGGUUUUCGGAUCGUAAACUUCUGUCCUAUGUGAAGAGGAGUAGACGGUAGCAUAGGAGGAAGCCCCGGCUAACUACGUGCCAGCAGCCGCGGUAAUACGUAGGGGGCGAGCGUUGUCCGGAAUGAUUGGGCGUAAAGGGCGCGUAGGCGGCCAUUUAAGUCUGGAGUGAAAGUCCUGUUUUCAAGAUGGGAAUUGCUUUGGAUACUUGGGUGGCUUGAGUUCGGGAAAGUUAUCGGAAUUCCCGGUGUAGCGGUGAAAUGCGUAGAGUCGGGAGGAACACCAGUGGCGAAGGCGGGUAACUGACUGCAACUGACGCUGAGGCGCGARAGUGUGGGGGAGCAGACAGGGUUAGGUACCCUGGUAGUCCACACUGURAACGAUAAUGCUAAGGUGUAAGAGGUAUCGACCCCUCUUUGUGCCGGGAGUUAACACAAUAUGCGUUCCGCCUGGGGAGUA
rnacentral:rRNA from 1 species